CCUACGGGAGGCAGCAGUGAGGAAUAUUGGUCAAUGGACGCAAGUCUGAACCAGCCAUGCCGCGUGAAGGAUGACGGCUCUAUGAGUUGUAAACUUCUUUUGUACAGGGAUAAACGCAGGCACGUGUAUCUUUUUGAAUGUAUCUUAUGAAUAAGGAUCGGCUAACUCCGUGCCAGCAGCCGCGGUAAUACGGAGGAUCCAAGCGUUAUCCGGAUUUAUUGGGUUUAAAGGGAGCGUAGACGGGUGGUUAAGUCAGUUGUGAAAUUCUGCGGCUCAACCUCGGAAUUGCAAUUGAUACUGGUCGGCUAGAGUGCAGUUGAGGUAGGCGGAAUGCAUGGUGUAGCGGUGAAAUGCUUAGAUAUCACGCAGAACACCGAUUGCGAAGGCAGCUUACGAAGCUAUGACUGACGUUGAGGCUCGAAAGCGUGGAGAGCAAACAGGAUUAGAUACCCUAGUAGUC
rnacentral:rRNA from 1 species